rnacentral:rRNA from 1 species
ACUCCUACGGGAGGCAGCAGUGGGGAAUCUUGGACAAUAGGGCGGCAAGCCUGAUCCAGCCAUGCCGCGUGAGUGAAGAAGGCCCUAGGGUCGUAAAACUACUUUCGCCAGGGAUGAUAAUGACAGUACCUGGUAAAGAAACCCCGGCUAACUCCGUGCCAGCAGCCGCGGUAAUACGGAGGGGUUAGCGUUGUUCGGAAUUACUGGGGCGUAAAGCGUACGUAGGCGGAUUAGUCAGUCAGAGGUGAAAUCCCAGGGGCUCAACCCUGGAACUGCCUUUUGAUACUGCUAGUCUUGAGUUCGAGAGAGGUGAGUGGAAUUCCAAGUGUAGAGGUGAAAUUCGUAGAUAUUUGGAGGAACACCAGUGGCGAAGGCGGCUCACUGGCUCGAUACUGACGCUGAGGUACGAAAGUGUGGGGAGCAAACAGGAUUAGAUACCCUGGUAGGAUAGCG